rnacentral:rRNA from 1 species
GUCAGCAGUGAUAGCACGUUGAAGGCACUAGUUCCCUAUGGAUCACUGAAGUUAAGCAACGUUGUGCGUGGUUAAUAUCCAGAUGGGUGACCAUCUUGGCUUUUUCCGACCGACC